rnacentral:rRNA from 1 species
AUUGAACGCUGGCGGCAGGCCUAACACAUGCAAGUCGAGCGAGCGGCGGACGGGUGAGUAAUUUAUUGGGACUGCCCGAUCGAGGGGGAUAACUACUGGAAACGGUAGCUAAUACCGCAUACUAUCGGAUAACCCAUAUGGGAUUAGCUAGUUGGUGAGGUAAUGGCUCACCAAGGCGACGAUCCCUAGCUGGUCUGAGAGGAUGAUCAGCCACACUGGGACUGAGACACGGCCCAGACUCCUACGGAGGCAGCAUUGGGGAAUAUUGGAAAAUGGGCGCAAGCCUGAUGCAGCAAGGCCGCGGGUAUGAAGAAGGCCUUAGGGUUGUAAAGCACUUUCAGUCGGGAGGCGUUACCGACAGAAGAAGCAACGGCUAACUCCGUGCCAGCAGCCGCGGUAAUUC